rnacentral:tRNA from 1 species
AUAGCUCAGUGGUAGAGUACAUGCUUAGCAUGCAUGAGGUCCUGGGUUCAAUCCCCAUU